CUACGUAGCUCAGAGUUUGAUCCUGGCUCAGGAUGAACGCUAGCGGCAGGCCUAACACAUGCAAGUCGAGGGGCAGCGGGAAAGUAGCUUGCUACCUUUGCCGGCGACCGGCGCACGGGUGCGUAACGCGUAUGUAACCUACCUUAAACAGGGGCAUAACACUGAGAAAUUGGUACUAAUUCCCCAUAACACUUUAGGAGGCAUCUUCUGAAGUUGAAAGUUCCGGCGGUUUAAGAUGGACAUGCGUUGUAUUAGUUAGUUGGUGAGGUAACGGCUCACCAAGACGACGAUACAUAGGGGGACUGAGAGGUUAACCCCCCACAUUGGUACUGAGACACGGACCAA
rnacentral:rRNA from 1 species